CAGUCGAACGAGAAUCUACUGAAAGAGUUUUCGGACAAUGGAUGUAGAGGAAAGUGGCGGACGGGCGAGUAACGCGUGAGGAACCUGCCUUGAAGAGGGGGACAACAGUUGGAAACGACUGCUAAUACCGCAUGACGCAUAGAGGUCGCAUGAUCUUUAUGCCAAAGAUUUAUCGCUUCAAGAUGGCCUCGCGUCUGAUUAGCUGGUUGGCGGGGUAACGGCCCACCAAGGCGACGAUCAGUAGCCGGACUGAGAGGUUGAACGGCCACAUUGGGACUGAGAUACGGCCCAGACUCCUACGGGAGGCAGCAGUGGGGAAUAUUGGGCAAUGGGCGCAAGCCUGACCCAGCAACGCCGCGUGAAGGAAGAAGGCUUUCGGGUUGUAAACUUCUUUUAAGAGGGAAGAGCAGAAGACGGUACCUCUAGAAUAAGCCACGGCUAACUACGUGCCAGCAGCCGCGGUAAUACGUAGGUGGCAAGCGUUGUCCGGAUUUACUGGGUGUAAAGGGCGUGCAGCCGGGUCUGCAAGUCAGAUGUGAAAUCCAUGGGCUCAACCCAUGAACUGCAUUUGAAACUGUANAUCUUGAGUGUCGGAGGGCAAUCGGAAUUCCUAGUGUAGCGGUGAAAUGCGUA
rnacentral:rRNA from 1 species